ensembl:lincRNA Snhg6 small nucleolar RNA host gene 6
AAAAUGCCUUACAGGCGUGCUUGUCCACAGCCCUAUCUUAAGGAUGCAUUUUUACAAUUGUAGCUUCCUACACCAGUGAUUAGCUUGUGUCAAGGUGACAUAAAAGUAGCCAGUGCACACUCAUGCAAGGUACUAAAACAUGGAAGUAAAAUGAGAGUUCACAAAUAUUUUAAUUUUUAGGUGCAACAAAACCUGUCUCAUUUGAAGGUGCUUGAACAAAUAUUUUCUAAACACUUGUCAUGGAGAGUGAUUGAAACAAGCUGCCAGGACUACAUUUGCCAAUAACAAGCAUGUAGGUGGCUGUAGUGGAUGUCCAACUUUGGGAGCUGUGAUGUCUAAAAACCCUUUAUUGUUUUGGGUAAGUUUGCUUAAUCAGUCAUGUAUCUGGAUUCAAUACUGUUUGAUAACACUGAGGGGCUGGGGCCAGUUCGUUUUGAAUAUCAUUAGGGUGAACACCUGGGCCUAGUUUGAGAUGGAAGAAAAAUGAUUUGGGGUUUCUGACUUUUUUUUUUUUUUUUCCUUUUGGGAAGGUGCAGCUUACAUAUUGGAAGGUAAAAUGAAGGCCAUGAACAAAGUCAAGAAGCCAUAAACAGAAGCAAAUGGUGAAAAUUAAUAUCUUAAUUUAAUAUUAAUAAGUUGUAUAUAAAUAAACAGUUAUUCUU